UCAGGGAUGCGCAUGAUUCUCAUCUGACACCUGAGCGCUUACCGCAUCUGCGUGUUUACCGGAAGACAGACACCUUAAUGACUAUCGAUUAGAGCUGGGAGAUCAGAGCCCCCCCAGUGAACAGCUGCGAAGGAGUUCACCUCUGAUAAACCAAGGCAUUGGACCCAAACUGCCAGCGCUGCCGUCUGGGAGUUGGCGUCCUGUGCUGUUUCUGAAGUAGGCGUCGCCGCACUGAUCCGCCUUUGCACCAUCCCUCCCAUCCCCAGAGGCGGACCUUCCUGCUGUGCUUCCCUCUACCUCCCAAUAAACCACCAUGUAGGAGAAAGUCAGAAGGUUCUCCAUUCUCCUUCGAAGAAUAUCUCUCUGCUGACUCUAAUCAGAGACUCUCCUCAAAAUGCACAUGAAACUUUUCUUUUUAUGCGGAGGAAACGAGGCAGUGUUUGUGAGGAGCAUCAAAACCUUCAGUGCACAAGCUCCCUUUCUGCAGAAGAGACGUGCACAAAGACACAGACUGCAAUACUGUUUCUAUGUACCUGUGGCCAAUGAAAUGCACUGUGCUUCGGGUUGCAUCUCUGCGUAAAAAGAAUAUCUACACUAAGAGAUAGAAAAGCAAACACAAAAUAGAUGCAUAGAACGAGAGGUUUACCUAGUCAAACCCACGGGCACGUUACAUAAUCAUUGUCUUUCACAGCAUUGACAACCUCCCACCUUUAAUUCAGCAGUAGAAUAUACAUGCUGAAGGUUUCUCCUUACAAGUUCUGUAUUUUAGACAUAAGAUGCCAAUAAAUUCUUUCAGAUGUGCAUGCAAGCAUCUGCCUAGUGCUGUUUAGACUGGCAACUCUACAAGUUAUGAGGGGCGGCUGUUAACAGGUCCUGCCCGUGCCAUCAGAGCACAUAAAUACUAAUUGCUUUGACCCUUAUUUACACAGGAAGGAGAACAUGCCAAGUAUUUGAGCCAAAAAAAAAAAAAAAAAAACUCAAACAAACAGUGUGAUGUGACUAAGUGUCGGCACAGUCAAACGAUCAGCAGGAGGGACAACUUCUGCUACUGCAAACAAUUUGUUUCCAUCCAUGGGUAGUUUGUUUGUUGUUAUAAAACAGUCAGACUUAUGUCUUUUACCUGUAUGAAUGAACUAUUGAUUAAAUGCCUUGGCAGGUUAGAGCUGUA